UACGUAGGGUGCAAGCGUUGUCCGGAAUUAUUGGGCGUAAAGAGCGUGUAGGCGGCCGUACAGGUCAGCUGUGAAAACUCGAGGCUCAACCUCGAGACGUCGGUUGAAACCGUACGGCUAGAGUCCGGAAGAGGAGAGUGGAAUUCCCCGGUGUAGCGGUGAAGUGCGCAGAUAUCGGGAAGAACACCCGUGGCGAAGGCGGCUCUCUGGGACGGUACUGACGCUGAGCGCGAAAGCGUGGGGAGCGAACAGG
rnacentral:rRNA from 1 species